CGUACACUCCUGCGGGAGGCAGCAGUGGGGAAUAUUGGACAAUGGGCGCAAGCCUGAUCCAGCCAUGCCGCGUGAGUGAUGAAGGCCCUAGGGUUGUAAAGCUCUUUCACCGGUGAAGAUAAUGACGGUAACCGGAGAAGAAGACCCGGCUAACUUCGUGCCCGCAGCCGCGGUAAUACGAAGGGGGCUAGCGUUGUUCGGAUUUACUGGGCGUAAAGCGCACGUAGGCGGACUAUUAAGUCAGGGGUGAAAUCCCGGGGCUCAACCCCGGAACUGCCUUUGAUACUGGUAGUCUUGAGUUCGAGAGAGGUGAGUGGAAUUCCGAGUGUAGAGGUGAAAUUCGUAGAUAUUCGGAGGAACACCAGUGGCGAAGGCGGCUCACUGGCUCGAUACUGACGCUGAGGUGCGAAAGCGUGGGGAGCAAACAGGAUUAGAAACCCGGGUAGUCC
rnacentral:rRNA from 1 species